rnacentral:tRNA from 1 species
GCCCUGGUGGCACAAUGGUUAAGUGUGCUUGGUUGCUAACCAAAAGGUUGGUGGCUCAAACCUACCCAGCAGCU